UGGAGGAAUCCAAACUUGUGUGAGGUUUUUUUUCAAGCCUGAAACAACAAAGAGAGGUGUUAAAAAAAAAGAGCAGCUGUGAUGGAGGAAAAAGGGCUGUGGUUAAUCUCUCUUCCUUCGUGGAAGGAAGGAAGCAAGGAGCAGAGCUGGCCCUGGAAAACUGUGAGAUGCCAACACAGAAUUCUCCUGCUGGGAUGCUACGGGGCUGGGCGCAUCACUCAGGGAGCCAGGGCUGGGCUCCUCGUCUCCAAGAGGUUUAGUAAAACCAGGGAUUCAGCAGAGGGGAGCGUGCAGCUCGUGCCUGUGUGCGACAGCAGGGUGAGGAGCCGGCGUCUGUGCGAGAGAAGCUCUUCCAGAAGCAGAAACAGACUUAGCUGGGAUUUUUCCUGCUGCAUAAACAGGAGAGGCUGGGAAUAUUCUUUCUCACUCAUAUCUAAGGCUCAAGUCCUGACUAUUCAAGCCCUCGUGGAUAGCCCUGAGAAAGAUAAGCUAUCUCCCCCAUCUCCCAGCCUGGGAGCAGCAAACAUUCCUGCUUUGUGGAACAAAACCUCUGGCUGACCUAUAUCUAUUAAACAACAAAAGGCUAAAAAAUGCUGGCUUUCAGACAGGUCCUCCUGGGCACGGCUCCACCCUCCCGGGUGAGUUUACAUCCCAAGCAUCCCUGCAGGGUGUCCCCUGUCUCCCUGGGGCCAUCCCUGCCUUCCUGCCCCUCCUCUCCCUGGGGAGCUUCAGGAAACACUAGGGACCAGUGGGAGGGACUGGGAGGAGUGGGGAACCCGCUGCCAGUUUGCAUCCCUGAAAUCCAAACCGUGCGUGCCCAAGCCUGCCAGACCAUUUGUCCCCAAAGCCACAUGGGAGAGAGACAGAGAUGAAAGGUCCCAAGGACCCCUCCGAAAUUCAGCCCCACAGAGGAAGAGCUUCUCUUCUCUAAUGACUUUGUUUUCUUUGCGAGUUCAAACGCAGGUCGGCCAAGUUUGAAUCUGUAAAAUUAUACAGCAGCAAGAGGGAGAAGGGCUCCAAAGGAUCCCCCAGCUGGACUCCAGCCCCAAAAGGGUUUUUGGGGCCCAGGGCAGGGGAUGGAUACCAGCUCCUGGGUGCUCCCCAUCUGCACCACGCAAAUGCACCCAGCCACAAAGAUGCUGAGUAGGUCCUACAUAAACAAUCCUUUCACUGGGUAAGGAGCAGGUGGGACUGGCAGAGCAAGGCAGCAUCCUUGGGGAUAAUCCCAGCAGGCUGGACAGAUACCCUUUUGCCAGGGGAAAGAUUCUAGACAAAAAUAUUACUCCUGCCCUUAAAUGGAAGGGGAGCUUUGGCCCACAGGGAGCUGCUCCAGGUUUCUUUGUGCUGAAAUCCCAGGGAUUCAGUCCCCAUCUUCUACCAGAAACAUUCCUAGGGCAAAAUCCUUCUCUGAAAAAAAAAAAAAAAGCCUUAUCAGAGAAAUUGUCAGGCAGCAGGCACAUAUCUGUUCUUCCACAGGGAAGAAUUGCUCCUUCAGAGAGGUGGAUCAGGCACGGCAGGGAUGUCAUGGGACAGGGCCAGACUGACAGCUCUCGAGCAAGGAUUAAAGGGCGCUGGAGCAUGGGAUUCCCUCAGCCUAAACCUCACGGGUUUUUUGGACAGCCUGAGCUGUUUCAUUUCAUUUCUGCUGUACGAACAUCUUUCAGUUUCUAUUUGGUGGAGCAUUUCUCCAUUUCUCCUUCUUCCUGAAAUUUGGGGUGAAAUCAAAGAUUUUUUAAGAGUCAGAAGUGCCAAUGUUUGCUCCAGGAGGAGCUCAAAGGUGACCACCUUGACUUCCUUCCAUGGGGAUGGCAGCUAUGGGACCGCUUCAAGUCCCCUUCCACAGUCCUCCUCUGCUCCUGCUGCUGCACCCCACAGCUCCCAAAUUUCUCAGGGCUGUUGGAUCCUACCUGUGUUGCCUCAUUCCUAGUGUGUCCCCUCCUGGCUUUUUGUUUUCCCUGCAGGAAGUCUGCUCUUCAUCUGUACUACUCUCCUCUUCCUUGGAAAUCUCCAUCCCCCUUCUGGCCUGUCCCUCUCACCUUUGCAUCCCACCAUCCCAGUCUGUUGUCCCCGAAAUCCUGCAUCUCAUCUUGGGCCAGUUUAAGGGACGCUGGAAAGGAUCUGUGGAGAUUUGCUGAGAUGGUCACGGCUGAGGACAUGCAAGGAGAGGCAAAGAUCUGGGCCAGGAGGUCACUGGGGUCUCCAGAGCAUGGAUCAAGGAUGACCCCAGCAGCCCUCCUCUUCCUCACAUGAAGCCAGGUUUGUCUCCUGCAGGCAUCUGCACAAAAAGCUCUGGCUGGACAGCGGGCGGGACAAUACUCACAACCCUUAUUUGGACUCGGCUCUGGGGAAGAGCUGCAGCUCCCCAGCAGCCAGGAGUUUCUGCCGCACCGAUGUCCAUCUGUGCUGGGACACAACGCUGGGCUGUGUCAUACAGGGAUAGACAGGGAGGCUGUGAACAGCUCGGGACUCUGCUGGGAAGCGCGGCGAGUCCCGAGGCCCCAGCGGAAC